rnacentral:rRNA from 1 species
CCUACGGGAGGCAGCAGUGAGGAAUAUUGGUCAAUGGGCGCGAGCCUGAACCAGCCAAGUAGCGUGAAGGAUGACUGCCCAACGCGUCGCAAACCUCUUUUACCAAGGAAUAAAGUGAGGCACGCGUGCGUUCCUGAGUGUACUCUGUGAAUAAGCAUCGGCUAACUCCGUGCCAGCAGCCGCGGUAAUACGGAGGAUCCGAGCGUUAUCCGGAUUUAUUGGGUUUAAAGGGUGCGCAGAUGGGUUGUUAAGCCAGUGGUGAAAGUUGGGGGCUCAACCGUACAAUUGCAAUUGAUACUGGCAGCCUUGAGUGCAGUUGAGGCAGGCGGAAUGCGUGGUGUAGCGGUGAAAUGCAUAGAUAUCGCGAAGAACUCCGAUUGCGAAGGCAGCCUACUGUGCUGCCACUGACGUUGAUGCUCGAAAGUGUGGGUAUCGAACAGGAUUAGAUACCCUUGUAGUC